rnacentral:rRNA from 1 species
CCAUCCUCCAAGGCUAAAUACUCCUGACUGACCGAUAGUGAACCAGUACCGUGAGGGAAAGGCGAAAAGAACCCCGGCGAGGGGAGUGAAAAAGAACCUGAAACCGUGUACGUACAAGCAGUGGGAGCACGCUUAGGCGUGUGACUGCGUACCUUUUGUAUAAUGGGUCAGCGACUUAUAUUCUGUAGCAAGGUUAACCGAAUAGGGGAGCCGAAGGGAAACCGAGUCUUAACUGGGCGUUAAGUUGCAGGGUAUAGACCCGAAACCCGGUGAUCUAGCCAUGGGCAGGUUGAAGGUUGGGUAACACUAACUGGAGGACCGAACCGACUAAUGUUGAAAAAUUAGCGGAUGACUUGUGGCUGGGGGUGAAAGGCCAAUCAAACCGGGAGAUAGCUGGUUCUCCCCGAAAGCUAUUUAGGUAGCGCCUCGUGAAUUCAUCUCCGGGGGUAGAGCACUGUUUCGGCAAGGGGGUCAUCCCGACUUACCAACCCGAUGCAAACUGCGAAUACCGGAGAAUGUUAUCACGGGAGACACACGGCGGGUGCUAACGUCCGUCGUGAAGAGGGAAACAACCCAGACCGCCAGCUAAGGUCCCAAAGUCAUGGUUAAGUGGGAAACGAUGUGGGAAGGCCCAGACAGCCAGGAUGUUGGCUUAGAAGCAGCCAUCAUUUAAAGAAAGCGUAAUAGCUCACUGGUCGAGUCGGCCUGCGCGGAAGAUGUAACGGGGCUAAACCAUGCACCGAAGCUGCGGCAGCGACGCUUAUGCGUUGUUGGGUAGGGGAGCGUUCUGUAAGCCUGCGAAGGUGUGCUGUGAGGCAUGCUGGAGGUAUCAGAAGUGCGAAUGCUGACAUAAGUAACGAUAAAGCGGGUGAAAAGCCCGCUCGCCGGAAGACCAAGGGUUCCUGUCCAACGUUAAUCGGGGCAGGGUGAGUCGACCCCUAAGGCGAGGCCGAAAGGCGUAGUCGAUGGGAAACAGGUUAAUAUUCCUGUACUUGGUGUUACUGCGAAGGGGGGACGGAGAAGGCUAUGUUGGCCGGGCGACGGUUGUCCCGGUUUAAGCGUGUAGGCUGGUUUUCCAGGCAAAUCCGGAAAAUCAAGGCUGAGGCGUGAUGACGAGGUACUACGGUGCUGAAGCAACAAAUGCCCUGCUUCCAGGAAAAGCCUCUAAGCAUCAGGUAACAUCAAAUCGUACCCCAAACCGACACAGGUGGUCAGGUAGAGAAUACCAAGGCGCUUGAGAGAACUCGGGUGAAGGAACUAGGCAAAAUGGUGCCGUAACUUCGGGAGAAGGCACGC